UCGCUAUGAACUGAUAUGAUCAUAUAAUUAAUUUCACAUUAAACCAUACAAUUUUAGGCUUGUUUAAUAUCCAUACAAGUUAAUAGUACAGAUCAACCACACAAUUCUAAAAACACAUCUCAUAUAUUUCACUGAAAUCAAUAUUUGUACAAAUGUACUUUGAAUAAUCUACAAGUCAUCUACCACAGGCAUACAACCCAUGAACUUCUAACAGUUAUCUACAAGUCACCUACCAAAUAAGCAUACAGCCCAAGAACUUCUAAAGAGUUCACUAUACAAAAGGCCAAGCCUAUAUACCCAAAGCAAUCCAAAACUACACACCACGAACACAUCUGAGGGCUCCACACCUUUUAAUCCAUUUUCCAUGAGAACUCUGAAUCGCUUUUUGACACCAUCAAGCAUGCUGAUUACUAGCACCUCUCAGAACUACAUGCCUGAAAUCCACAUAUAAUCACACAUAAGUAUUCUAAGAAUAGAUCACUCCUCUACCUACUACACAUGUGUUUUCAAUCGAACCUAUAACCUAUUUCUUUUGGCAAUGUCACCUGCUGUUGGCGAAAAUAAAGAGUAGUCAACAUGUUGGCUCACAGUUUAGAAUAGAUGAAAUAGUGUACACACGAGAAUGAAUAUUUAGAUGAAAUAGUGCCAUCUAGGUUAUUCUUUCUGAAGCAACAAGUGUAGUGAUCUCAAGUGCAAUACUUUUCCAGUGUUUUUACUGCCUUAACAAUGGCAUCAUCUACAGUGCAAUACUUUGUAAGUGUUUUUACUGGCUUAACAAUGGCAUCAUGAGGUUGAUCAUGAUUUUGACAGUCAAAAGAUGUCGUAAGAUUUCUGAGAACAUCAAUUGUCUAGGAGAUCGAAUCAUCAUAAGAACUGACCUCUAAGCUGGCUCCUGCUCCGUCACUAGGGAGCUGCACUGAAAAAUAAAUUAAAUUUAUUAGAUCAGAUAUUUGAUUCAACAUGUCAUACAUAUAUUUCAAGGCAUCAUGCAUGUACCAACACAAUGUUGGAUAAUGUAGAGAAUUUCAUACAAAGAACUUCUCAGAUGUGAAGAUAUACAGUACCAACUCAGACUUUUCAAAUGUUAGUAUUAGUAUGCUUUUCAUUUUUGCAGCAAAACUGAUAAUGAAUUUGCAACGUGCUUCAUUACUUGGUUUAGAUAAGUUUAACUUAGGACAAAACUAAAACAACCCCUUUUAGGUAUGGAGGGAGGCAGAAGCACACCCUAAUAGGCAGUGAAUGAUAUGGACCGAUGUGGCAGAAUCAUAGUGGCAGAAGCAUAUGCUACUGUCACAAGGAGUUACAGGGAGUUGAUUGAAACCUGUUGCAAUUGUGUCCAAAGAGUGACAGAAAGCAUCUAGCACCAAUAGGAAGGAUCCAAACAGCUAAAACAUAUGCUGCUAUCACUGACAACAUUUCCCAAUAAUAAUGCAUCAAUCAGAGAGCUUUUCUUAAGCACUAAUAGUUUUUUUUCUUAGUCACCUGUCCAUGUCUCCUUGUCAGAGGUCGAACAUCUUUCAGGUUCAAGCCAUUUACAGGUUAGUUUUUUUUUAAAAUGAUAUUCUUUCUUAUGCUCAGGUAAGAGCUGAUGCCUUUUCCUCCAAGAUAUUGAUGGCUAGCAUCAACAGAUUAAUUUCAAAUCUAUAGCAAUAACAGCACAGCUUUACCUAACAUUGACAAGUAUCAAUUUACAAUUUUUUUCUACACUAGGUCAAUGCUUAAGCUUUUUGGGCAUACAGUUGAGAAUAUAUUGUGGUUCGGCUUUCGUAUAGAUGAGGACAUUUGGAAUGAGGAAGCAAACCAAGGCACUAACUAAUUUAUGGUGCCAUAGGGUUUGACACUGCAUUAAGCUUUCCAUGUCACUGAAGAAAACCAACAUGGAGGUACAGAGUGAUUGGCAGAAUAUUCACAAGAACAGUGCAGUAUAUGUAACAAAAAAAAUCAACUUAUCUUCAAGUAGUAGCAGGAUACCUGGGUGUGGGUUUGGCACCGUCGUCCUAAAGCAUGAACAGGGUGAUGACCACCCAGCUUUCGCGUUCGCGUCGUAGUUGUCAUCAGAUCCAAGCACUAGUGGAGCCCGGGCCGGCGGCCAUGGCUAGAUUGACAAAGACGCGCAUCCAAACAAGGCAGAUCUGCGCCAUCCAGCGAUCAACGAGAGGGGAGGCCAGGAGAACAGAGAGGGGAUGGGAGGGAAACUGUACUGUGAAAUUUUGGACGACUACCUUAGGGAUACCGAUGGCAAGCGUUCGUGCGCCCAAUCCUCGUGUAGUCAGAUGCCGCCGGCGAGGGCUCCUACCGGAGCUCGUUGCCCAGUGCGGCGGCCUGGACAGCAUCGGCAGCGGGGACGGUAUCGGCAGCAGGGGGUGGGGGUAGGGAGGGGGAAAACAGGACGGUAGGCAUGAAGCUGAGUGCGCCUGCGAGGAAGUGCGGCGGUGGGGCUUAGGAUUGUG
rnacentral:lncRNA from 1 species